rnacentral:rRNA from 1 species
UACGGAGGGGGCUAGCGUUGUUCGGAAUUACUGGGCGUAAAGCGCACGUAGGCGGUGGUGCAUGUCAGAUGUGAAAGCCCUGGGCUUAACCUAGGAAUUGCAUUUGAAACUGCGCCGCUAGAGACCGGAAGAGGGUAGUGGAAUUCCCAGUGUAGAGGUGAAAUUCGUAGAUAUUGGGAAGAACACCAGUGGCGAAGGCGGCUGCCUGGUCCGGUACUGACGCUGAGGUGCGAAAGCGUGGGGAGCAAACAGG